rnacentral:rRNA from 1 species
AGAGUUUGAUCCUGGCUCAGAACGAAACGCUGGCGGCAUGCCUAACACAUGCAAGUCGAACGAGACCUUCGGGUCUAGUGGCGCACGGGUGCGUAACGCGUGGGAAUCUACCCUUGGGUUCGGAAUAACUCGCCGAAAGGCGUGCUAAUACCGGAUGAUGUCGCGAGACCAAAGAUUUAUCGCCUGAGGAUGAGCCCGCGUAGGAUUAGCUAGUUGGUGUGGUAAAGGCGCACCAAGGCGACGAUCCUUAGCUGGUCUGAGAGGAUGAUCAGCCACACUGGGACUGAGACACGGCCCAGACUCCUACGGGAGGCAGCAGUGGGGAAUAUUGGACAAUGGGCGAAAGCCUGAUCCAGCAAUGCCGCGUGAGUGAUGAAGGCCCUAGGGUUGUAAAGCUCUUUUACCCGGGAUGAUAAUGACAGUACCGGGAGAAUAAGCCCCGGCUAACUCCGUG